rnacentral:rRNA from 1 species
GCGUUCUGUAAGCCUGUGAAGGUGUGCUGUGAGGCAUGCUGGAGGUAUCAGAAGUGCGAAUGCUGACAUAAGUAACGAUAAAGCGGGUGAAAAGCCCGCUCGCCGGAGGACCAAGGGUUCCUGUCCAACGUUAAUCGGGGCAGGGUGAGUCGACCCCUAAGGCGAGGCCGAAAGGCGUAGUCGAUGGGAAACAGGUUAAUAUUCCUGUACUUGGUGUUACUGCGAAGGGGGGACGGAGAAGGCUAUGUUGGCCGGGCGACGGUUGUCCCGGUUUAAGCGUGUAGGCUGGUUUUCCAGGCAAAUCCGGAAAAUCAAGGCUGAGGCGUGAUGACGAGGCACUACGGUGCUGAAGCAACAAAUGCCCUGCUUCCAGGAAAAGCCUCUAAGCAUCAGGUAACAUCAAAUCGUACCCCAAACCGACACAGGUGGUCAGGUAGAGAAUACCAAGGCGCUUGAGAGAACUCGGGUGAAGGAACUAGGCAAAAUGGUGCCGUAACUUCGGGAGAAGGCACGCUGAUAUGUAGGUGAAGUCCCUCGCGGAUGGAGCUGAAAUCAGUCGAAGAUACCAGCUGGCUGCAACUGUUUAUUAAAAACACAGCACUGUGCAAACACGAAAGUGGACGUAUACGGUGUGACGCCUGCCCGGUGCCGGAAGGUUAAUUGAUGGGGUCAGCGCAAGCGAAGCUCUUGAUCGAAGCCCCGGUAAACGGCGGCCGUAACUAUAACGGUCCUAAGGUAGCGAAAUUCCUUGUCGGGUAAGUUCCGACCUGCACGAAUGGCGUAAUGAUGGCCAGGCUGUCUCCACCCGAGACUCAGUGAAAUUGAACUCGCUGUGAAGAUGCAGUGUACCCGCGGCAAGACGGAAAGACCCCGUGAACCUUUACUAUAGCUUGACACUGAACAUUGAGCCUUGAUGUGUAGGAUAGGUGGGAGGCUUUGAAGUGUGGACGCCAGUCUGCAUGGAGCCGACCUUGAAAUACCACCCUUUAAUGUUUGAUGUUCUAACGUGGACCCGUGAUCCGGGUUGCGGACAGUGUCUGGUGGGUAGUUUGACUGGGGCGGUCUCCUCCUAAAGAGUAACGGAGGAGCACGAAGGUUGGCUAAUCCUGGUCGGACAUCAGGAGGUUAGUGCAAUGGCAUAAGCCAGCUUGACUGCGAGCGUGACGGCGCGAGCAGGUGCGAAAGCAGGUCAUAGUGAUCCGGUGGUUCUGAAUGGAAGGGCCAUCGCUCAACGGAUAAAAGGUACUCCGGGGAUAACAGGCUGAUACCGCCCAAGAGUUCAUAUCGACGGCGGUGUUUGGCACCUCGAUGUCGGCUCAUCACAUCCUGGGGCUGAAGUAGGUCCCAAGGGUAUGGCUGUUCGCCAUUUAAAGUGGUACGCGAGCUGGGUUUAGAACGUCGUGAGACAGUUCGGUCCCUAUCUGCCGUGGGCGCUGGAGAACUGAGGGGGGCUGCUCCUAGUACGAGAGGACCGGAGUGGACGCAUCACUGGUGUUCGGGUUGUCAUGCCAAUGGCACUGCCCGGUAGCUAAAUGCGGAAGAGAUAAGUGCUGAAAGCAUCUAAGCACGAAACUUGCCCCGAGAUGAGUUCUCCCUGACCCUUUAAGGGUCCUGAAGGAACGUUGAAGACGACGACGUUGAUAGGCCGGGUGUGUAAGCGCAGCGAUGCGUUGAGCUAACCGGUACUAAUGAACCGUGAGGCUUAACCUU